rnacentral:rRNA from 1 species
UACGUAGGGUGCAAGCGUUGUCCGGAAUUAUUGGGCGUAAAGAGCUCGUAGGCGGCUUGCCAAGUCAGGGGUGAAAUCUUUCGGCUCAACCGGAAAAGUGCUUCUGAUACUGGCGGGCUGGAGGAGGGUAGGGGCAGAUGGAACUUCCGGUGGAGCGGUGAAAUGCGUAGAUAUCGGAAGGAACGCCGGUGGCGAAAGCGAUCUGCUGGACCCUUUCUGACGCUGAGGCGCGAAAGCCAGGGGAGCAAACGGG